rnacentral:rRNA from 1 species
GACGCUGAAGGCGAAAGCUAGGGGAGCGAACGGGAUUAGAAACCCCGGUAGUCCUAGCCGUAAACGAUGGAUGCUGGGUGUGGGGGGUAUAGAUCCCCUCCGUGCCGAAGCUAACGCGUUAAGCAUCCCGCCUGGGGAUUACGGCCGCAAGGCUUAAACUCAAACGAAUUGACGGGGGCCCGCACAAGCAGCGGAGCGUGUGGUUUAAUUCGAUGCUACACGAAGAACCUUACCUGGGCUUGACAUGUAGGUAGUAGUGAAGCGAAAGCGGAACGACCCUUCGGGGAGCCUACACAGGUGCUGCAUGGCUGUCGUCAGUUCGUGCCGUGAGGUGUCGGGUUAAGUCCCGUAACGAACGCAACCCUUGCCCUUAGUUACAUGUGUCUAAGGGGACUGCCCGGGACAACUGGGAGGAAGGUGGGGAUGACGUCAAGUCAGCAUGGCCUUUAUGUCCAGGGCUACACACACGCUACAAUGGCCGGUACAAUGGGUCGCCAAGCCGUGAGGCGGAGCCAAUCCCCCAAAGCCGGUCUAAGUUCGGAUUGUGGGCUGCAACUCGCCCAUAUGAAGCUGGAGUUGCUAGUAACCGCGCGUCAGCAAUAGUGCGGUGAAUACGUUCCCGGGCCUUGUACA